rnacentral:rRNA from 1 species
GAUCCUGGCUCAGAAUCAACGCUGGCGGCGUGCCUCAGACAUGCAAGUCGAACGAUUAAACUUUCCUUCGGGAAAGAUAUAAAGUGGCGCACGGGUGAGUAACACGUAGGUAAUGUGCCUUUGGGUGGGGAAUAACUUAGGGAAACUUAAGCUAAUACCGCAUAAUGCAGCGGCUCCUUCGGGAGACAGUUGUUAAAGAUUUAUCGCCUAAAGAGCAGCCUGCGGCAGAUUAGCUAGUUGGUAAGGUAACGGCUUACCAAGGCUACGAUCUGUAUCCGACCUGAGAGGGUGGUCGGACACACUGACACUGAAUAACGGGUCAGACUCCUACGGGAGGCAGCAGUCGGGAAUUUUGGGCAAUGGGCGAAAGCCUGACCCAGCAACGCCGCGUGAAGGAUGAAGUCUUUCGGGAUGUAAACUUCGUAAGAAUAGGAAGAAUAAAUGACGGUACUAUUUGUAAGGUCCGGCUAACUACGUGCCAGCAGCCGCGGUAAUACGUAGGGACCAAGCGUUGUUCGGAUUUACUGGGCGUAAAGGGCGCGUAGGCGGCGUGUCAAGUCAAUUGUGAAAUCUCCGAGCUUAACUCGGAACGGUCAAUUGAUACUGAUGUGCUAGAGUGCAGAAGGGGCAAUCGGAAUUCUUGGUGUAGCGGUGAAAUGCGUAGAUAUCAAGAGGAACACCUGAGGUGAA